UAGUCCACGCCGUAAACGAUGAACACUAGGUGUAGCGGACUGAUUCACGUCUGCUGCGCCGUAGCUAACGCAUUAAGUGUUCCGCCUGGGGAGUACGGCCGCAAGGCUAAAACUCAAAGGAAUUGACGGGGCCCCGCACAAGCGGCGGAGCAUGCGGCUUAAUUCGAUGCAACCCGAAGAACCUUACCUGGGCUUGACAUGAUGGAUCUAGCUGUGGAAACACAGUGUGCUUACGCGUUCAUCACAGGUGGUGCAUGGCUGUCGUCAGCUCGUGUCGUGAGAUGUUGGGUUAAGUCCCGCAACGAGCGCAACCCUUGUCCUAUGUUGCCAGCACGUAAUGGUGGGGACUCAUGGGAGACUGCCGGGGACAAACCGGAGGAAGGUAAGGAUGACGUCAAGUCAGCAUGCCCCUUAUGCUCUGGGCUACACACGUGCUACAAUGGCCGUGACAAAGAGUUGCUACUUUGUGAAAACAGCUAAU
rnacentral:rRNA from 1 species